rnacentral:rRNA from 1 species
AGUGGCGGACGGGUGAGUAACGCGUGAGAACAUGCCCUUAGGUUCGGGACAACAGUUGGAAACGGCUGCUAAUACCGAAUGUGCCGAGAGGUGAAAGAUUGAUUGCCUAGGGAUUGGCUCGCGUCAGAUUAGCUAGUUGGUGGAGUAAUGGUUUACCAAGGCGACGAUCUGUAUUUGGUCUGAGAGGAUGACCAGACACACUGGGAUUGAGACCCGGCCCAGACUCCUACGGGAGGCAGCAGUGGGGAAUUUUCCGCAAUGGGCGAAAGCCUGACGGAGCAAUACCGCGUGAGGGAGGACGGCUUUUGGGUUGUAAACCUCUUUUAUCAGGGAAGAAACAAAUGACGGUACCUGAUGAAUCAGCAUCGGCUAACUCCGUGCCAGCAGCCGCGGUAAUACGGAGGAUGCAAGCGUUAUCCGGAAUUAUUGGGCGUAAAGCGUCCGUAGGUGGUUUUUCAAGUCUGCUGUCAAAGCGUGGAGCUUAACUCCAUAUCGGCAGUGGAAACUGGGAGACUAGAGUGCGAUAGGGGUAACGGGAAUUCCCAGUGUAGCGGUGAAAUGCGUAGAGAUUGGGAAGAACACCAGCGGCGAAAGCGCGUUACUGGGUCUGCACUGACACUGAGGGACGAAAGCUAGGGGAGCGAAAGGGAUUAGAUACCCCUGUAGUCCUAGCUGUAAACGAUGGAUACUAGGUGUGGUUCGUAUCGACCCGAGCCGUGCCGGAGCUAACGCGUUAAGUAUCCCGCCUGGGGAGUACGCACGCAAGUGUGAAACUCAAAGGAAUUGACGGGGGCCCGCACAAGCGNUGGAGUAUGUGGUUUAAUUCGAUGCAACGCGAAGAACCNUACCAAGNCUUGACAUGUCGCGAACCUUCCU